GGUGGCUCAGUGUUUAAGUGUUCGGCUGCUAACCGAAAGGUUGGUGGUUCGAAUCCAUCAGCCA
rnacentral:tRNA from 1 species